rnacentral:lncRNA from 1 species
CUUUUCUUUUUUAUCCUGUCGAAUUGCUAUGAGAAUAUACAAGCUUCCUCUUAAAGUUUGUUCUGUUUGUCAAUCCCAAGUUCUGCCUGUUUUUCUUUACAUUUAGAUGCCUAAGUUCUCACAGAUUGAAUUUCUUGCAAAUUGUUCUUUGAACAAGAAAAACCACACAAAACAGUUGUUCCAUAAUCUACUUCACCAUUUGCUUUAAAUGUAUCACAAAUAACAUGCUUGUAGAUUUACAAA